rnacentral:ncRNA from 16 species
GCAACCUGAAGCUCGCGCACGGCAACCUGGUGGUGUUCCGUUCGCUGCUCGGCAUCUCGUGGAUGUGGUUCUUCGGCGCGGUGUUCCUGUCGAUGUUCCCGGCCUUCGCGAAGGAGGUGCUG